CCAUGGAGCCCUAGGAAUUCGCCACACUAUACCAGGACAAAUAAUUCUUAGUGUGUGCCCUGGUAAGAUUCAAAUGUGCAGCCCUGGUAGUGAGUAAGUGUAUGGGGAUUGGUGAGUAAGUUUAUGGGCACAAGUAAGUUAUGGGCAUUGGUGAGUAAGUUUUGGGGGCAGGUGAGUAAUUUCAUGGGCUCAGGUGAAUAAGUUUAUGGGCAUUGGUAAGUAAGUUUAUGGGCACAAGUAAGUUAUGGGCAUUGGUGAGUAAGUUUUGGGGGCAGGUGAGUAAGUUCAUGGGCUCAGGUGAGUAAGUUUAUGGGCAUUGGUGAGUAAGUUUUGGGGGCAAGGUGAGUAAGUUUAUGGGCAUUGGUGAGUAAGUUUUGGGGGCAGGUGAGUAAGUUCAUGGGCUCAGGUGAGUAAGUUUAUGGGCAUUGGUGAGUAAGUUUAUGGGCACAAGUGAGUAAGUUAUGGAUAUAGGUGAGUAAGUUUUGGGGGCAAGGUGAGUAAGUUUGUUUGCACAAAUGAGUAAGUUAUGAGAGAGAGAGAGAGAGAGAGAGAGAGAGAGAGAGAGAGAGAGAGAGAGAGAGAGAGAGAGAGAGAGAGAGAGAGAGAGAGAGAGAGAGAGAGAGAUCUAUACAGCAAGGUCUAACAAUAGGUACAUCCAACCCGCCUGAAAGGAAGGAUGAACAUAACCUAACCUUACUCACCUACAUACCUAUGACAAAAUUAAUUCUUGCUCAAAUGUUUUUGUGGAAAAUUCAUAAGUGGGCAACAAUUAAAUGACUGUCCAGGGAUGGGGAUUCCAACCCUGGCUGGCAGAUUCAAAGGUAGGCAUGCUAACCACUACACCAUGGAGCCAUAAGAAUUAGCCACACUAUACCAGGACAAAUAAUUCUUAGUGUGUGCCCUGGUAAGAUUCAAAUGUGCAGCCCUGGUAGUGAGUAAGUGUAUGGUGAUUGGUGAGUAAGUUUAUGGGCACAAGUAAGUUAUGGGCAUUGGUGAGUAAGUUUUGGGGGCAGGUGAGUAAUUUCAUGGGCUCAGGUGAAUAAGUUUAUGGGCAUUGGUAAGUAAGUUUAUGGGCACAAGUAAGUUAUGGGCAUUGGUGAGUAAGUUUUGGGGGCAGGUGAGUAAGUUCAUGGGCUCAGGUGAGUAAGUUUAUGGGCAUUGGUGAGUAAGUUUUGGGGGCAAGGUGAGUAAGUUUAUGGGCAUUGGUGAGUAAGUUUUGGGGGCAGGUGAGUAAGUUCAUGGGCUCAGGUGAGUAAGUUUAUGGGCAUUGGUGAGUAAGUUUAUGGGCACAAGUGAGUAAGUUAUGGACAUAGGUGAGUAAGUUUUGGGGGCAAGGUGAGUAAGUUUGUUUGCACAAAUGAGUAAGUUAUGAGAGAGAGAGAGAGAGAGAGAGAGAGAGAGAGAGAGAGAGAGAGAGAGAGAGAGAGAGAGAGAGAGAGAGAGAGAGAGAGAGAGAGAGAGAGAGAGAGAGAGAGAGAGAGAGAUCUAUACAGCAAGGUCUAACAAUAGGUACAUCCAGCCCGCCUGAAAGGAAGGAUGAACAAAACCUAACCUUACUCACCUACAUACCUAUGACAAAAUUAAUUCUUACUCAAAUGUUUUUGGGGAAAAUUCAUAAGUGGGCAACAAUUAAAUGACUGUCCAGGGAUGGGGAUUCCAGCCCUGGCUGGCAGAUUCAUAGGUAGGCAUGCUAACCACUAGACCACGGAACCAUAAGAACUAGCUACACUAUACCAGGACAAAUAAUUCUUAGUGUGUGCCCUGGUAAGAUUCAAAUGUGCAGCCCUGGUAGUGAGUAAGUGUAUAAGGAUUGGUGAGUAAGUUUAUGGGCACAAGUAUGUUAUGGGCAUUGCUGAGUAAGUUUUGGGGGCAGGUGAGUAAUUUCAUGGGCUCAGGUGAAUAAGUUUAUGGGCAUUGGUAAGUAAGUUUAUGGGCACAAGUAAGUUAUGGGCAUUGGUGAGUAAGUUUUGGGGGCAAGGUGAGUAAGUUUGUUUGCACAAAUGAGUAAGUUAUGAGAGAGAGAGAGAGAGAGAGAGAGAGAGAGAGAGAGAGAGAGAGAGAGAGAGAGAGAGAGAGAGAGAGAGAGAGAGAGAGAGAGAGAGAGAGAGAGAGAGAGAGAGAGAGAGAGAGAGAGAGAGAGAGAGAGAGAGAGAGAUCUAUACAGCAAGGUCUAACAAUAGGUACAUCCAACCCGCCUGAAAGGAAGGAUGAACAUAACCUAACCUUACUCACCUACAUACCUAUGACAAAAUUAAUUCUUGCUCAAAUGUUUUUGGGGAAAAUUCAUAAGUGGGCGACAAUUAAAUGACUGUCCAGGGAUGAUGAUUCCAACCCUGGCUGGCAGAUUCAAAGGUAGGCAUGCUAACCACUGCACCAUGGAGCCAUAAGAAUUAGCCACACUAUACCAGGACAAAUAAUUCUUAGUGUGUGCCCUGGUAAGAUUCAAAUGUGCAGCCCUGGUAGUGAGUAAGUGUAUGGUGAUUGGUGAGUAAGUUUAUGGGCACAAGUAAGUUAUGGGCAUUGGUGAAUAAGUUUUGGGGGCAGGUGAGUAAUUUCAUGGGCUCAGGUGAAUAAGUUUAUGGGCAUUGGUAAGUAAGGUUAUGGGCAAAAGUAAGUUAUGGGCAUUGGUGAGUAAGUUUUGGGGGCAGGUGAGUAAGUUCAUGGGCUCAGGUGAGUAAGUUUAUGGGCAUAAGUGAGUAAGUUUUGGGGGCAAGGUGAGUAAGUUUAUGGGCAUUGGUGAGUAAGUUUUGGGGGCAGGUGAGUAAGUUCAUGGGCUCAGGUGAGUAAGUUUAUGGGCAUUGGUGAGUAAGUUUAUGGGCACAAGUGAGUAAGUUAUGGAUAUAGGUGAGUAAGUUUUGGGGGCAAGGUGAGUAAGUUUGUUUGCACAAAUGAGUAAGUUAUGGGAGAGAGAGAGAGAGAGAGAGAGAGAGAGAGAGAGAGAGAGAGAGAGAGAGAGAGAGAGAGAGAGAGAGAGAGAGAGAGAGAGAGAGAGAGAGAGAGAGAGAGAGAGAGAGAGAGAGAGAGAGAGAGAGAGAGAGAGAUCUAUACAGCAAGGUCUAACAAUAGGUACAUCCAGCCCGCCUGAAAGGAAGGAUGAACAUAACCUAACCUUACUCACCUACAUACCUAUGACAAAAUUAAUUCUUACUCAAAUGUUUUUGGGGAAAAUUCAUAAGUGGGCAACAAUUAAAUGACUGUCCAGGGAUGGGGAUUCCAACCCUGGCUGGCAGAUUCAUAGGUAGGCAUGCUAACCACUACACCACGGAACCAUAAGAACUAGCCACACUAUACCAGGACAAAUAAUUCUUAGUGUGUGCCCUGGUAAGAUUCAAAUGUGCAGC